AAUUUGUUUACAAAGCAAAUCAUAUCUUUUGGUUCAAAUGCAUUCGUUGGCAAAAUAGCUGCUCGCGCUUCACUGUAGGCAGAUAUCUACAAUCAGCGGUCGAAUUAAAAACAGUGCAGAAGGAUGUUUUGAGUAUAUUUUACCUUCUAGCCGCGCAAUCAAUGCUUUUCUUUCCAAGCAAGCAGCGUUUUUCGGCAAAAGCAUGAAAUAGAAUCGUACGUGGUACGAAUUUAUCGGCACAAUCUGAUCAAGA